CAGCCGCCGCGGGAAUACGAAGGGGGCUAGCGUUGUUCGGAAUCACUGGGCGUAAAGGGUGCGUAGGCGGGCAUUUAAGUCAGGGGUGAAAUCCCGAGGCUCAACCUCGGAACUGCCCUUGAUACUGGGUGUCUUGAGUCCGGAAGAGGUGAGUGGAACUGCGAGUGUAGAGGUGAAAUUCGUAGAUAUUCGCAAGAACACCGGUGGCGAAGGCGGCUCACUGGUCCGGAACUGACGCUGAGGCACGACAGCGUGGGGAGCAAACAGGAUUAGAUACCCCCGUAGUCCCUGUCUCUUAUAC
rnacentral:rRNA from 1 species